rnacentral:rRNA from 1 species
GUCGAGCGAACAGACGAGGAGCUUGCUCCUCUGACGUUAGCGGCGGACGGGUGAGUAACACGUGGAUAACCUACCUAUAAGACUGGGAUAACUUCGGGAAACCGGAGCUAAUACCGGAUAAUAUAUUGAACCGCAUGGUUCAAUAGUGAAAGACGGUUUUGCUGUCACUUAUAGAUGGAUCCGCGCCGCAUUAGCUAGUUGGUAAGGUAACGGCUUACCAAGGCAACGAUGCGUAGCCGACCUGAGAGGGUGAUCGGCCACACUGGAACUGAGACACGGUCCAGACUCCUACGGGAGGCAGCAGUAGGGAAUCUUCCGCAAUGGGCGAAAGCCUGACGGAGCAACGCCGCGUGAGUGAUGAAGGUCUUCGGAUCGUAAAACUCUGUUAUUAGGGAAGAACAAAUGUGUAAGUAACUAUGCACGUCUUGACGGUACCUAAUCAGAAAGCCACGGCUAACUACGUGCCAGCAGCCGCGGUAAUACGUAGGUGGCAAGCGUUAUCCGGAAUUAUUGGGCGUAAAGCGCGCGUAGGCGGUUUUUUAAGUCUGAUGUGAAAGCCCACGGCUCAACCGUGGAGGGUCAUUGGAAACUGGAAAACUUGAGUGCAGAAGAGGAAAGUGGAAUUCCAUGUGUAGCGGUGAAAUGCGCAGAGAUAUGGAGGAACACCAGUGGCGAAGGCGACUUUCUGGUCUGUAACUGACGCUGAUGUGCGAAAGCG